rnacentral:rRNA from 1 species
GUCUCUGGCCAUGCCAUCCUGAACAAGCCCAAUCCCAUCUGAUCUCGGAAGCUAAGCAGGGUCCAGCCUGGUUAGUACUUGGAUGGGAGACCACCUAGGAAGACAAGGUGCUUUAGGCA